UCCCCUUCUCAAUUUCCUAAUGACAGGCGUGUCCUUCUCCUUCAUGCCCUUCUAUAAAACUGCGAAUAUGCGUUAUGUACAGGUUUUUAUUGGCGCCAAAUAGCAAUCUUUACCCAUUAGCCCAAAUCAAAUUGUAACGACAUUCCCCAACAAAAAUCAUAUCUGGAUCCAAGCUUCCAAAACACACCACAUAUGAAAAGGGUAGGAAACCAAGCGCAAAUGACCCAUAUUAGUAUUUUCGCACAUACCAAGAAACAAGGUGUUUCACACACAAGAACAGCAGAGUCCAUGUUCAAAGAAAUUGGAAUUCAGCAACAAAAUCGAAGCUAAUUAAAGCUAUGAUAUCUGGAGAUGACAGACUUUCAAGCGCAAAUUGCGAUUAUCGAAAUUUUGUUGAUCUUACGCAGCAAUGGCCAAUGAGGAUUAUCUGACAUAAUACAACACAAUCUACAUGAAAAAAAAAAAAUUGCAAUUCAACAUCGAAAUCGGAACUAAUUAAAUAAAUCAUUAUGGAAAUGUGUUGGCAAAAAAUUUCAAAGUAAAAAACAUUCCUCGAAACUUCAUAUCAACCAGUCAAAAUACCCUAAAUUCAAUUGAUACAGCAAACCUAAAGUUACCUUUUAUUCCCAAAUCGGAGAGUUUGAUUCAAUAUCAGCAUAAGGAGAUGCAUAUUUUGAUUGAGAAAUCCAAAAAAUCUCGGCUCCACCACAAUAUUGUCGACGAC
rnacentral:lncRNA from 1 species